UACGUAGGGGGCAAGCGUUGUCCGGAUUUAUUGGGCGUAAAGAGCGUGUAGGCGGCCUGGUAGGUCAGCUGUGAAAACUCGAGGCUCAACCUCGAGACGCCGGUUGAAACCAUCAGGCUAGAGUCCGGAAGAGGAGAGUGGAAUUCCUGGUGUAGCGGUGAAAUGCGUUGAUAUCAGGAGGAAUACCCGUGGCGAAGGCGGUCCACUGGGCAUCAACUGACGCUGAGGCGCGAAAGCGUGGGUAGCAAACAGG
rnacentral:rRNA from 1 species